rnacentral:rRNA from 1 species
AGCUUUAGGGAUGUAUCUAAAGUUAAACCUGCCCAAUGUGUUUGUAUGAAUGGCCGCGGUACCCUGACCGUGCUAAGGUAGCGCAAUCAAUUGGCCCUUAAUUGGGGUCAGGUAUGAAUGGAAUUACGGGGCUUUACUGUCUCCUAGCUAAUAAAUUGAAUUUACUAUAUAGGUGAAAAAGCCUAUUAUUUGAAAAAGGACGAGAAGACCCUUAGAGUUUUACUUAUUUUGAUUAUUAUAUUUUUCGAGUUGGUUUAGUUGGGGCAACAUAGGAGCAAAAAAUAAUUAAUCUCCUAAAUAUAAUUUACCGAUAAUUAUAAAUGUAAAUAAACUACCUUAGGGAUAACAGCAUAAUGUUAAAAUUAAGUUUAUGACCUCGAUGUUGGACUAGGAAACUAAAAGGCUAGCCGUCUUUUAGGGAAGUUCUGUUCGAACUAUUUAUUCCU